GACGAACGCUGGCGGCGUGCUUAACACAUGCAAGUCGAGCGAGCAGAUUCCCUUCGGGGAUGAAGCUAGCGGCGGACGGGUGAGUAACACGUGGGCAACCUGCCUUAUAGAGGGGGAUAGCCUUCCGAAAGGAAGAUUAAUACCGCAUAACAUCAGAUUAUCGCAUGGUAGACUGAUCAAAGGAGCAAUCCGCUAUAAGAUGGGCCCGCGUCGCAUUAGCUAGUUGGUGAGGUAACGGCUCACCAAGGCGACGAUGCGUAGCCGACCUGAGAGGGUGAUCGGCCACAUUGGGACUGAGACACGGCCCAGACUCCUACGGGAGGCAGCAGUGGGGAAUAUUGCACAAUGGGGGAAACCCUGAUGCAGCAACGCCGCGUGAGUGAUGAAGGCCUUCGGGUUGUAAAGCUCUUUGAUCAGGGACGAUAAUGACGGUACCUGAAGAACAAGCCACGGCUAACUACGUGCCAGCAGCCGCCGUAAAAC
rnacentral:rRNA from 1 species